rnacentral:rRNA from 1 species
GAUGAACGCUGGCGGCGUGCCUAAUACAUGCAAGUCGAGCGAACAGAUAAGGAGCUUGCUCCUUUGACGUUAGCGGCGGACGGGUGAGUAACACGUGGAUAACCUACCUAUAAGACUGGGAUAACUUCGGGAAACCGGGGCUAAUACCGGAUAACAUAUUGAACCGCAUGGUUCAAUAGUGAAAGGCGGCUUUGCUGUCACUUAUAGAUGGAUCCGCGCCGUAUUAGCUAGUUGGUAAGGUAACGGCUUACCAAGGCAACGAUACGUAGCCGACCUGAGAGGGUGAUCGGCCACACUGGAACUGAGACACGGUCCAGACUCCUACGGGAGGCAGCAGUAGGGAAUCUUCCGCAAUGGGCGAAAGCCUGACGGAGCAACGCCGCGUGAGUGAUGAAGGUCUUCGGAUCGUAAAACUCUGUUACCAGGGAAGAACAAAUGUGUAAGUAACUGUGCACAUCUUGACGGUACCUGAUCAGAAAGCCACGGCUAACUACGUGCCAGCAGCCGCGGUAAUACGUAGGUGGCAAGCGUUAUCCGGAAUUAUUGGGCGUAAAGCCGCGCGUAGGCGUUUUUUUAAGUCUGAUGUGAAAGCCCACGGCUCACCCGUGAGGGGUCAUUGGAAAACUGGAAAACUUGAGUGCAGAAGAGGAAAGUGGGAAUCCCAUGUGUAGCGGUGAAAUGCGCAGAGAUAUGGAGGAACACCAGUGGCGAAGGCGACUUUCUGGUCUGUAACUGACGCUGAUGUGCGAAAGCGUGGGGAUCAAACAGGAUUAGAUACCCUGGUAGUCCACGCCGUAAACGAUGAGUGCUAAGUGUUAGGGGGUUUCCGCCCCUUAGUGCUGCAGCUAACGCAUUAAGCACUCCGCCUGGGGAGUACGACCGCAAGGUUGAAACUCAAAGGAAUUGACGGGGACCCGCACAAGCGGUGGAGCAUGUGGUUUAAUUCGAAGCAACGCGAAGAACCUUACCAAAUCUUGACAUCCUUUGACCGCUCUAGAGAUAGAGUCUUCCCCUUCGGGGGACAAAGUGACAGGUGGUGCAUGGUUGUCGUCAGCUCGUGUCGUGAGAUGUUGGGUUAAGUCCCGCAACGAGCGCAACCCUUAAGCUUAGUUGCCAUCAUUAAGUUGGGCACUCUAAGUUGACUGCCGGUGACAAACCGGAGGGAGGUGGGGAUGACGUCAAAUCAUCAUGCCCCUUAUGAUUUGGGCUACACACGUGCUACAAUGGACAAUACAAAGGGCAGCUAAACCGCGAGGUCAAGCAAAUCCCAUAAAGUUGUUCUCAGUUCGGAUUGUAGUCUGCAACUCGACUACAUGAAGCUGGAAUCGCUAGUAAUCGUAGAUCAGCAUGCUACGGUGAAUACGUUCCCGGGUCU